GGCAGGCCUAACACAUGCAAGUCGGACGGUAACAGCCGGAGCUUGCCCUUGGCUGACGAGUGGCGGACGGGUGAGUAAGGCGUAGGAAUCUACCAUUCAGUGGGAAAUAGCCCGGAGAAAUCCGGAUUAAUACCGCAUACGCUCUACGGAGGAAAAGGGGCCUCUUCUUGAAAGCUCCUGCUGAUUGAUGAGCCUGCGUUGGAUUAGCUAGUUGGUAAGGUAAGAGCUUACCAAGGCGACGAUCUAUAGCUGGUCUGAGAGGAUGAUCAGCCACACUGGGACUGAGACACGGCCCAGACUCCUACGGGGGGCAGCAGUGGGGAAUAUUGGACAAUGGGGGCAACCCUGAUCCAGCCAUGCCGCGUGUGUGAAGAAGGCCUUCGGGUUGUAAAGCACUUUCAAUAGGGAGGAAUUGCAGUGUGUUAAUAGCGCAUUGUUUGACGUUACCUACAGAAGAAGCACCGGCUAACUCCGUGCCAGCAGCCGCGGUAAUAC
rnacentral:rRNA from 1 species